UACAGAGGGUGCAAGCGUUGUUCGGAAUUACUGGGCGUAAAGCGUGCGCAGGCGGUUUUGUAAGACAGAUGUGAAAUCCCCGGGCUCAACCUGGGACCUGCAUUUGUGACUGCAAGGCUAGAGUACGGUAGAGGGGGAUGGAAUUCCGCGUGUAGCAGUGAAAUGCGUAGAUAUGCGGAGGAACACCGAUGGCGAAGGCAAUCCCCUGGACCUGUACUGACGCUCAUGCACGAAAGCGUGGGGAGCAAACAGG
rnacentral:rRNA from 1 species